rnacentral:rRNA from 1 species
GUAACACGUGGCCAAACUACCCUUCGGACCCCUAUACCCUCGGGAAACUGAGGCUAAUAGUGGACACCACAGUCCACCUGGAAUGAAGACUGUGCCAAACGCUCCGGCGCCGAAGGAUGUGGCUGCGGCCGAUUAGGUAGACGGUGGGGUAACGGCCCACCGUGCCAAUAAUCGGUACGGGUCAUGAGAGUGAGAACCCGGAGACGGAAUCUGAGACAAGAUUCCGGGCCCUACGGGGCGCAGCAGGCGCGAAACCUUUACACUGCACGACAGUGCGAUAAGGGAAUCCCAAGUGCACAGGCAUAGAGCCUGUGCUUUUGUACACCCUAGGGCGGUGUACGAAUAAGGGCUGGGCAAGACCGGUGCCAGCCGCCGCGGUAAUACCGGCAGCCCAAGUGAUGGCCGAUCUUAUUGGGCCUAAAGCGUCCGUAGCUGGCCGCACAAGUCCAUCGGGAAAUCCACCUGCCCAACAGGUGGACGCCCGGUGGAAACUGUGUGGCUUGGGACCGGAAGGCGCGACGGGUACGUCCGGGGUAGGAGUGAAAUCCCGUAAUCCUGGACGGACCGCCGAUGGCGAAAGCACGUCGCGAAAACGGAUCCGACAGUGAGGGACGAAAGCCAGGGUCUCGAACCGGAUUAGAUACCCGGGUAGUCCUGGCCGUAAACAAUGUCUGUUAGGUGUGGCUCCCACUACGAGUGGGUGCUGUGCCGUAGGGAAGCCGCUAAACAGACCGCCUGGGAAGUACGUCCGCAAGGAUGAAACUUAAAGGAAUUGGCGGGGGAGCACUACAACCGGAGGAGCCUGCGGUUUAAUUGGACUCAACGCCGGACAUCUCACCAGCAUCGACUGUAAUAAUGACGACCAGGUUGAUGACCUUGUCCGAGUUUCAGAGAGGAGGUGCAUGGCCGCCGUCAGCUCGUACCGUGAGGCGUCCUGUUAAGUCAGGCAACGAGCGAGACCCGCAUCCCUACUUGCCAGCAGUACUUCACAGUAGCUGGGGACAGUACGGAGACCGCCGUGGCCAACACGGAGGAAGGAACGGGCAACGGUAGGUCAGUAUGCCCCGAAUGUGCUGGGCAACACGCGGGCUACAAUGGUCGAGACAAAGGGUUCCAACUCCGAAAGGAGACGGUAAUCUCAGAAACUCGAUCGUAGUUCGGAUUGUGGGCUGCAACUCGCCCACAUGAAGCUGGAUUCGGUAGUAAUCGCGUGUCACAAGCGCGCGGUGAAUACGU